rnacentral:rRNA from 2 species
GGGCGUUAAGUUGCAGGGUAUAGACCCGAAACCCGGUGAUCUAGCCAUGGGCAGGUUGAAGGUUGGGUAACACUAACUGGAGGACCGAACCGACUAAUGUUGAAAAAUUAGCGGAUGACCUGUGGCUGGGGGUGAAAGGCCAAUCAAACCGGGAGAUAGCUGGUUCUCCCCGAAAGCUAUUUAGGUAGCGCCUCGUGAAUUCAUCUCCGGGGGUAGAGCACUGUUUCGGCUAGGGGGCCAUCCCGGCUUACCAACCCGAUGCAAACUGCGAAUACCGGAGAAUGUUAUCACGGGAGACACACGGCGGGUGCUAACGUCCGUCGUGAAGAGGGAAACAACCCAGACCGCCAGCUAAGGUCCCAAAGUCAUGGUUAAGUGGGAAACGAUGUGGGAAGGCCCAGACAGCCAGGAUGUUGGCUUAGAAGCAGCCAUCAUUUAAAGAAAGCGUAAUAGCUCACUGGUCGAGUCGGCCUGCGCGGAAGAUGUAACGGGGCUAAACCAUGCACCGAAGCUGCGGCAGCGACACUGUGUGUUGUUGGGUAGGGGAGCGUUCUGUAAGCCUGUGAAGGUGUGUCGUGAGGCAUGCUGGAGGUAUCAGAAGUGCGAAUGCUGACAUAAGUAACGAUAAAGCGGGUGAAAAGCCCGCUCGCCGGAAGACCAAGGGUUCCUGUCCAACGUUAAUCGGGGCAGGGUGAGUCGACCCCUAAGGCGAGGCCGAAAGGCGUAGUCGAUGGGAAACGGGUUAAUAUUCCCGUACUUGGUGUUACUGCGAAGGGGGGACGGAGAAGGCUAUGUUGGCCGGGCGACGGUUGUCCCGGUUUAAGCGUGUAGGUGUGUGUUCCAGGUAAAUCCGGUUCACUUUAACACUGAGGCGUGACGACGAGGCACUACGGUGCUGAAGCAACAAAUGCCCUGCUUCCAGGAAAAGCCUCUAAGCAUCAGGUAACAUCAAAUCGUACCCCAAACCGACACAGGUGGUCAGGUAGAGAAUACCAAGGCGCUUGAGAGAACUCGGGUGAAGGAACUAGGCAAAAUGGUGCCGUAACUUCGGGAGAAGGCACGCUGACACGUAGGUGAAGUGAUUUACUCAUGGAGCUGAAGUCAGUCGAAGAUACCAGCUGGCUGCAACUGUUUAUUAAAAACACAGCACUGUGCAAACACGAAAGUGGACGUAUACGGUGUGACGCCUGCCCGGUGCCGGAAGGUUAAUUGAUGGGGUCAGCGCAAGCGAAGCUCCUGAUCGAAGCCCCGGUAAACGGCGGCCGUAACUAUAACGGUCCUAAGGUAGCGAAAUUCCUUGUCGGGUAAGUUCCGACCUGCACGAAUGGCGUAAUGAUGGCCAGGCUGUCUCCACCCGAGACUCAGUGAAAUUGAACUCGCUGUGAAGAUGCAGUGUACCCGCGGCAAGACGGAAAGACCCCGUGAACCUUUACUAUAGCUUGACACUGAACAUUGAGCCUUGAUGUGUAGGAUAGGUGGGAGGCUUUGAAGUGUGGACGCCAGUCUGCAUGGAGCCGACCUUGAAAUACCACCCUUUAAUGUUUGAUGUUCUAACGUGGACCCGUUACCCGGGUUGCGGACAGUGUCUGGUGGGUAGUUUGACUGGGGCGGUCUCCUCCUAAAGAGUAACGGAGGAGCACGAAGGUUGGCUAAUCCUGGUCGGACAUCAGGAGGUUAGUGCAAUGGCAUAAGCCAGCUUGACUGCGAGCGUGACGGCGCGAGCAGGUGCGAAAGCAGGUCAUAGUGAUCCGGUGGUUCUGAAUGGAAGGGCCAUCGCUCAACGGAUAAAAGGUACUCCGGGGAUAACAGGCUGAUACCGCCCAAGAGUUCAUAUCGACGGCGGUGUUUGGCACCUCGAUGUCGGCUCAUCACAUCCUGGGGCUGAAGUAGGUCCCAAGGGUAUGGCUGUUCGCCAUUUAAAGUGGUACGCGAGCUGGGUUUAGAACGUCGUGAGACAGUUCGGUCCCUAUCUGCCGUGGGCGCUGGAGAACUGAGGGGGGCUGCUCCUAGUACGAGAGGACCGGAGUGGACGCAUCACUGGUGUUCGGGUUGUCAUGCCAAUGGCACUGCCCGGUAGCUAAAUGCGGAAGAGAUAAGUGCUGAAAGCAUCUAAGCACGAAACUUGCCCCGAGAUGAGUUCUCCCUGAGACUUA